AAAGAUUUUUAACUUGGUUCCUCAGUUAAUAUGCUGUACAAUACCAACAAAACAUAAAUGUCAAACUGGUGCCACUAAUGACUGGGGAUUGAAGAGGUUUAAUAGCAUAUUUUGGAUGGAUUCCUUUACAAACUGUUGCAAUGUGCAGAAACCUGGGCAGAUUCCGUGAUCCAGACUCUCAGUGCAUUAAAUAGGCAUAGCUCCAGUGAAACGAAUGAAGCCAAACCAAGUCCCCCCAGCUGAAGGUCUGGCCUUGUAUAGCAAAAAGAUGAAAUUCAAGUUUGAGUUUGAAGUCAACGUUUCAAAACAAUGAAUGAGGGAUAGGGAGUUUUAGAAAAGAAGCUGGGGAAUACUAAAAGAGGAAGCUCUUUGAAACCCCAGGGCUUAGGCAUACUCCCUGUAGGUUGAACUCUGUUCCUCACCUCUACCCAUAUGGAAUGGAGGGAGUGCCACCUUGGUAACUCCCUUAGAGUCCUGCAGGUGCCCCAUUGUUGGAGUUUGCAGGGUCAGGGCUCUGCAGUGGAGCACGGUUGGGGAUGGUAUAGUGCUGCAGGGAGCAGCUGGUCCUUUGCUUAUAUCACAUGUGAGACCAUUGACUUCGAAAGAUCCACUCCUGAUUUACAAUAGUGUGAGAGGAGAGCCGGAUCCAAAGAUUUCUUAUUUUAUUUAAAACAAGACAAUACAACAUUAAGGGAACACUGAUGGACAAACUGUUCAUACGUAUUAUGAAACUUGGCUUAAAAAACAGGUCUGUGUUACAUAUUGAUCUGGAAAGAAAAAUGAACACUUCAGGUGCUUCUCUCCCAUUCAUUCCAGCAAGGAGCUUAGGUAAGCAAGGAACAGUACCAAGGGUCUACCAGACUCGUUCCCAGGAAUGUAGAUAACAAGGUAAAACCUGCCAACAUAACUUUUCUGCCCAAGUGCCCGGUGCUUUUUAUUAUUUUCUUUGUACAAAAUUAUGCUUUUUAGACAUUUUUACACUUUCAUUUGGAUACUGAUCAUCUACUCUUGCCCAUGGAAAGAUUUCCAUUGACGUCACUGAGAACUGGAUCAGGCCCUUAAUGAGGUGCCAAGGAAGAAAAAUUCAGGGGAAGGGGGGUGGGAAACCAUCUCAGGGUUUUUUUCUGCAGUUUUGAAUUAAAAUAAUGCUAAACUUAACCUCAAGAAUAGUUUUAUUUCUAUAUUCAAAAUAAAAACAAACAAAAAU
rnacentral:lncRNA from 1 species